GGCAGCCCUCGCGCGGUGUGUGCCGCGUCCCGCGCUGUCCCGGGGCGCUCGGGCCCCUCGCCCGAGACGCCAGGAAAGUGAUCGCCGCCCUCCCCACCUUUCCUCCCAACUGCGGGGUGCAGGGUGAGGGGUGGGGGUGAAGUAAAUGCGGCGCCGCUGCGUGAUUACUUAUCUGAAAAGGGGUCAGGAUUACGGGCAAAAUAAAUUGGCCGCUCUUUUUUUCCAGUCAGGGCCGCCGCCCGUUCCCCCUGCAACCUUUGAGGGCGUUAUCUGGGUCGCCCUUCCCCCUGCAGUGGAUUUCAGCCCCCCACAGUGCCCCCGGCCUAGGGCCCUUGUAGGGCCUCUGCACAAACAUAGGGAGGAAACGCAAGCCUGCAGCAAUGGGGGAAGGCGCUUCCUCUCUCGACUUUGUUUCCUUGUGGGUGAAGUGAGCUGGCUCAGAAAAAGCCCGUUGAUCUGUGCAAGGUGCAAGCGCGUGGGGGCUGAGGAGCAAGGAGCACCGCGGGGAAGAGACGUUCUGCGUGCGCCCAAGAAUGAAAUGCUACCCCCCCCCCCCAUCCUGAGAGUUCUACGUGAGGAUGAAUCAUGAUAUCUCAUUCUCUCCAGGCCACUCUGGGAACCUGCUUUCCUAGGAUGGUUGGAACUUACGCCUAGAGCGUUCAAAGCUCUUUGCCUUAAGGGAGCGCCUCGAGGGGGAUGUUGUAUGUGCGCUCAGAGUGGUGUGUACAUAGGUAAAAAUGUGUAGCUCUGUGCAUUUUGGAUGUGUGCCCUUUGCUGUACUCGUGUUAGACCUCAAGGGGGUUCACGCGAACUAAGCGCCGAAUGCGUUGCUAAGCACUGUGACUAUGACUUCCACCUCAGGGAGCUCACCGACCGAUUACAACGCUGACAAAUGUGCGACGGCAAUCAUCUCUAGGUGCUGGGGUUGUCCGUACUUAAAUUGUGCAUCCCAGACUAGGGGAGGUGUGGAGGAAUCAGGUUGCAGGAGACAUUUUGGAAUGAAUGACAUCGGCCCUGAAUUAUAAGGGGAGUGAAGUGGAGGUGGAGGAAGGAAGCAAUGAUUUCUGUUAGGAAAUCAACAGAAGAGAAGGCAUGGCGUUGCAGGUGGAGGUGCCACAUUAGGGAUGGAGGGUUCGUUAGGUAUAAUCGCUGGUACUAAGGGCCUUGGAUGCUGCACUAAUGAUGAGUGAGUUUGGUUUUAAGGCAAGGUGGGGUCUCUGGCACUUCCAUCUCGCCUUUGGGGAAAACCCCUUUGUCAGCCCAAAGGAAAGAGGCCUGGGUGCAAACAAUGCAAGUAUUUUCUUUUCCGCAAAAGUAAGACUCCCUUUUCCCAGUUGUGGAUCCUCUCAUUUGACCCUGGCACCGGAGCUUUUGAAAGACAAACGAUGCUUCAUUGUGUCGUUAGUCCUUUGUUUAGCGCUUGAUACAGCCCAGGGCUUGUGAUAUUCUUGGAUUUGUUACUAAGCACUUUGUAUGGCAGCCGGUGCAGAAAAUUCAAGGCAGAGGAGACGGGCAACCAGGUGUCCCCAUUGUCCACACCAGGGUUGAUGUGCUUCCAGAAACAUGUUUGCAAGAUUCUUCAUGUUCCUCCUCCUCACCCUUGGGUUCUAAUUAUUAUUCUCCGGAUCCGUUAAAGUAGUAAAGGCUGUUGACAACCAAGACAUAUAAAAGCUAAGCCCCAGUUGCUAUGUGUGCUUUGCAAUACUUACUAUCUCUGCUUAAUGAUAAAUCUCCCAACUCACAACUAUGCAUUGUGAAGUCUUUUCUUUCUCUCUCUUAAAAUUACUAUGCAGAAAAUGCUAACAGAACUGUUUUGCAUAAAAGGCUGGACUAAUUACUGUAAUCUGUCAUUUUCACCUCUGACCUCUAAUAAUUACUGACAGUCUAAUUGAGAAAGGAUUAGAGCCUGCAGUAGACACAUAAAUGGGUGCUACUGGGUGUUUUUUUCUGUGCCUAAUUAUCUUUGUAAUGCUUGAGUAAUUUAUUCCGUGCUAAGAGGACAUCAAAACAGUGCUAACAGUGGUUGCAAUAAACCUUGUCCCCUAGUUUCAAGAACAUACAAAGCUUCAAACCCCUGUGGCUGACCUCGCAGAUUAAGAAUCUCCUCUGUUUUUUACAUCACUCCAUGUUGGGUAUGAGCUGGAUAACAAGGAAACUGGAAAUAUGUCCGAGAAAAGAAAAAGAGAACAAAAUGUAGCCUCGGAAUCUAAGGCACAGUUUGGAAAAUAACCUGGCUGCAGUAAAGAAAGUCAAAAUAUACAUAUGAAUUGCUUAUAAGAGGCCACUCAGCUUUCUCUUCCAAAAGUAGGUAGAAAGUUUGUAAUAGGAGAGAAAAAUCAUGAAUAAUUAAUUCCCACUACAGGAGGUUGCACAGGAACGUCAGGGUGAGCCUUAGAAUAAGGGGACAAUGUAUUGUUUCUUUUGCCCUAACAUGUUUUCAUAUUAGAAUCCUAAUAGUAGGUCCAUAACUCCUUGAUUGGAAGGAGCGGUGUAUACAUGGCAUAUUGUUUCUCAGCCCUGCAUAUAAAAUUUUUGUGCUGAUAAUUUUAUUAAAGCAAUUCUGGUUGGAAGCAAUACAGUUAUUUUACAUUAUUUGUUUUUCUUAAUCCUUUGUUUUGUUUUGUUUGAAUUGCUUUUUAAUUCUUUUAUUUAAAAAAAGCUAUUGCAUUAAAAAAAUGUAC